rnacentral:rRNA from 1 species
ACGGGUGAGUAACACGUGGGUAACCUGCCUCAUAGAGGGGAAUAGCCUUUCGAAAGGAAGAUUAAUACCGCAUAAGAUUGUAGUAUCGCAUGAUGCAGCAAUUAAAGGAGUAAUCCGCUAUGAGAUGGACCCGCGUCGCAUUAGCUAGUUGGUGAGGUAACGGCUCACCAAGGCGACGAUGCGUAGCCGACCUGAGAGGGUGAUCGGCCACAUUGGGACUGAGACACGGCCCAGACUCCUACGGGAGGCAGCAGUGGGGAAUAUUGCACAAUGGGGGAAACCCUGAUGCAGCAACGCCGCGUGAGUGAUGACGGUCUUCGGAUUGUAAAACUCUGUCUUCAGGGACGAUAAUGACGGUACCUGAGGAGGAAGCCACGGCUAACUACGUGCCAGCAGCCGCGGUAAUACGUAGGUGGCAAGCGUUGUCCGGAUUUACUGGGCGUAAAGGGAGCGUAGGUGGAUAUUUAAGUGGGAUGUGAAAUACUCGGGCUUAACCUGGGUGCUGCAUUCCAAACUGGAUAUCUAGAGUGCAGGAGAGGAAAGUAGAAUUCCUAGUGUAGCGGUGAAAUGCGUAGA